GACGAACGCUGGCGGCGUGCUUAACACAUGCAAGUCGAACGGUGAAGCGCCUUCCUUUUUGGUGGGUGUGGAUGAGUGGCGAACGGGUGAGUAACACGUGAGUAACCUGCCCCCUUCUUCUGGAUAACCGCAUGAGAGUGUGGCUAAUACGGGAUAUUCUGGGUCUGUCGCAUGAUGGGUCUGGGAAAGAUAUUGUUUCGGUGGGGGAUGGGCUCGCGGCCUAUCAGCUUGUUGGUGGGGUGAUGGCCUACCAAGGCGGUGACGGGUAGCCGGCCUGAGAGGGUGGACGGUCACACUGGGACUGAGACACGGCCCAGACUCCUACGGGAGGCAGCAGUGGGGAAUAUUGCACAAUGGGCGCAAGCCUGAUGCAGCGACGCCGCGUGAGGGAUGGAGGCCUUCGGGUUGUGAACCUCUUUCGCCAGUGAAGCAGGCCUGCCUCGUUUGUGGGUGGGUUGACGGUAGCUGGAUAAGAAGCGCCGGCUAACUACGUG
rnacentral:rRNA from 1 species